UUCAAAGGUGUGUGGUUUUCAAACAAGCA
rnacentral:piRNA from 1 species